rnacentral:rRNA from 1 species
GAUGAACGCUGGCGGCGUGCCUAAUACAUGCAAGUAGAACGCUGAAGCUUGGUGCUUGCACCGAGCGGAAGAGUUGCGAACGGGUGAGUAACGCGUAGGUAACCUGCCUCUUAGCGGGGGAUAACUAUUGGAAACGAUAGCUAAUACCGCAUAAAAGUCGAUAUCGCAUGAUAUUGAUUUGAAAGGUGCAACUGCAUCACUAAGAGAUGGACCUGCGUUGUAUUAGCUAGUUGGUGAGGUAACGGCUCACCAAGGCGACGAUACAUAGCCGACCUGAGAGGGUAAUCGGCCACACUGGGACUGAGACACGGCCCAGACUCCUACGGGAGGCAGCAGUAGGGAAUCUUCGGCAAUGGACGGAAGUCUGACCGAGCAACGCCGCGUGAGUGAAGAAGGUUUUCGGAUCGUAAAGCUCUGUUGUAAGAGAAGAACGAGUGUGAGAGUGGAAAGUUCACACUGUGACGGUAACUUACCAGAAAGGGACGGCUAACUACGUGCCAGCAGCCGCGGUAAUACGUAGGUCCCGAGCGUUAUCCGGAUUUAUUGGGCGUAAAGCGAGCGCAGGCGGUUAGAUAAGUCUGAAGUUAAAGGCUGUGGCUUAACCAUAGUACGCUUUGGAAACUGUUUAACUUGAGUGCAGAAGGGGAGAGUGGAAUUCCAUGUGUAGCGGUGAAAUGCGUAGAUAUAUGGAGGAACACCGGUGGCGAAAGCGGCUCUCUGGUCUGUAACUGACGCUGAGGCUCGAAAGCGUGGGGAGCAAACAGG